CAUUAGAUGACUGAAAGCAAGUAAUGGUUUUUUAAAUCAUUUUUAUAGUAAAUUAGCAAUUACUUCUAAUGA
rnacentral:tRNA from 1 species